rnacentral:rRNA from 1 species
AGCAGCCGCCGCGGUAAUACGUAGGGUGCAAGCGUUAAUCGGAAUUACUGGGCGUAAAGCGCACGUAGGCGGCUUUGUAAGUAAGAGGUGAAAGCCCGGAGCUCAACUCCGGAACUGCCUUUUAGACUGCAUCGCUUGAAUCCAGGAGAGGUGAGUGGAAUUCCGAGCGUAGAGGUGAAAUUCGUAGAUAUUCGGAAGAACACCAGUGGCGAAGGCGGCUCACUGGACUGGUAUUGACGCUGAGGUGCGAAAGCGUGGGGAGCAAACAGGAUUAGAUACCCGAGUAGUCCCUGUCUCUUAUAC